UACGUAGGGGGCAAGCGUUGUCCGGAUUUAUUGGGCGUAAAGAGCGUGUAGGCGGCCUGGAAGGUCAGCUGUGAAAACUCGAGGCUCAACCUCGAGACGUCGGUUGAAACCACCUGGCUAGAGUCCGGAAGAGGAGAGUGGAAUUCCCGGUGUAGCGGUGAAAUGCGCAGAUAUCGGGAAGAACACCCGUGGCGAAGGCGGCUCUCUGGGACGGUACUGACGCUGAGACGCGAAAGCGUGGGGAGCGAACAGG
rnacentral:rRNA from 1 species